rnacentral:sRNA from 1 species
UAUUUUUGCAAUCUUACCUGACCUAUAUGUCCGCUCAUCGAGUUCGCCUACUCACUCAAUGGGCUGGGGGGCAAAUGUUGGAGCUGUAUUCCCCUCCAGGAAUCCACCUGCGAAAAUACCAAGCCAGCCCACAAAAGCCCACCAAGCCCACCAAGUAGAGGACCUACGCAGCUGACGAGCCCACAUACGCGAAUGGGUAUUUGGGCCAGAUAAGCCCAGUCACCUGAUGCAGGGAGAUAAGCGAAUAAUGACCUAGGAAUUGAUGAGGAGAUAUUCGCGGAGCGGACCUGAUAUCUCGGAACUGACCUGCCGAAUAUCCAGGAGGAUCGCCGCAGAUUCCGGACGGAGCUACCACGUGCGUAGAUCUAUAUAAGGGAGCAAGGACGACUUGGAAGACACAUUCAAUCUAGUUCACAUUGGCACACACACACUUUACACUUGUAAUCUCAUUUCAUAUUGUAAAAGCUCUGUCAUAAUUAAAGUCCAUUCGUUCUUAGCAAUAUAACUCUAAAGGUUUCAGUGAAGAUCUAACCCUCCUUUCUCAUAAUCUUAAAUACAAAUCUCUAGUGUGGAUUUCAGAACCCACAAAGACGAUAACCAGAUAGCAGAUAAUAAAGUUAAUAUAGUUGUAGGGCUUCACCACUCGCAAUAAAAUGUCGAGUUAUUACACGUGUAGUGAGAGUACCGCAAAAAUUCGUAUACGGUAAAAAGUAUCCGAUAAUAAAUUCGUUAGGGGUUAAAACUUCAACACGAGCAAUAAAAUGUCGAGAGAUUAUACAGAAUAAACAAUAUGAAAUGUCGAGAUAAUGAGAUAGCAGAUAAUAGAGUUAAUAUAUUCAUAAUAGAGUUAAUAUAUUCACCACUCGCAACACGUGAGACGAAUUCUGAACCGCAAAAACUCGUGUACGGUAAUAAAUUAUCUGAUAACAAACCAAUUAGGAGUUAAAACUUCAAAACAGGCAAUGAAAUGUCGAGAUAACGAGAUAGCAGAUAAUAGAGUUAAUAUAGAUAUAGGUCCUCUCGCAAUGAAAUGUCGACUUAUUACACGUAGGGAGAGUAAAUAAAAUGUAGAAUUCUGAAGCGCAAUGUCGAUAAUAAAGUAUCUGAUUAUAAAUCCGUUAGAGGUUAAAACUUCAACACGCGCAAUAAAUUUCAACACGCGCAAUGAAGUGUCGAGAUAUUACAAAGAGUGAAACAAUAUGAAAUAUCGAGAUAACAAGAUAGCAGAUAAUAGAGUUAAUAUAUUCAUAAUAGAGUUAAUAUAUUCACCACUCGCCACACGUGAGACGAAUUCUGAACCGCAAAAACUCGUGUACGGUAACAAAUUAUCUGAUAACAAACCAAUUAGGAUGAAAGAGACGAAGAAAAAACAUGAGGUAAAUAUAGAUUGGACCGAAACGACGCCUUGAUUGAAAACUAUCAAAAUAAUAU